CCAUAUUUUAGUUCCAUGAUUCAAGUUGGGUCUCAACUUUCACAAGAGAUUGUGCAAAGGGAAAUGCAGGACAAUUUUCCUCAGAUAUGAUACAGUAUUUGUUAAGAGUCUAUGAGACAAGGAUGGAACUUUUGAGAGCUGUAAUUGUUGGAGCUGGAGUGGUGCUGGGUGGUAAAAAUUCAGAAGUGCAGCACUGUAGCAUCUCUCAAAUAGUUAGGGUUCUUCACAUAUGGUUUCUUUUAGUGCUAUCUCUGUUAGCUAGGUGUUCUUUUGAAGAUUAUUCAUUACAAAUGUUCAAGUGUAAUGGAG